GGUCCCCUGUAUGAUCUCCAAAGUUAAGCAAUGUCGAGCUUAUUCAGUACUUAAAUGAGUGACUGCUUGGGAAUAUCAGGUACUGUAA